UACGUAGGGGGCAAGCGUUGUCCGGAUUAUUGGGCGUAAAGAGCAUGUAGGCGGCCAGGUAGGUGGGUUGUGAAAACUGGAGGCUCAACCUUCAGACGUCGACCCAAACCCCUGGCUAGAGUCCGGAAGAGGAGAGUGGAAUUCCUGGUGUAGCGGUGAAAUGCGCAGAUAUCAGGAAGAACACCCGUGGCGAAGGCGGCUCUCUGGGACGGUACUGACGCUGAGACGCGAAGCGUGGGAGCGAA
rnacentral:rRNA from 1 species